UCUGGAUGGAGGUGAAUCCAAGGGCGCCGGUGCAAUCCAUCUUGCACUUGAAGUUGUUGUCGAACUCCCGGAUGGAAUUCACAAUCCUGAGGAAGAGAUUUCGGCUCAUCCGAUAACGGCGCCGAAAUGUUUUCUCGCUGUGAAGUGGAGCAUCCGCGAAGUAGUCGGAGUAGAGCAUGCAGUAGCCUUCGAGACGAUGCCGGUUCUUUGCUUUCACCCGCCCCGGCGCCGAGCCACCUCAUCGCGGCUUUCAUUGCUCGCCAGCAGCUGGGCGAGGGCGGCGAGCACCAUGAGAUGCUCUUCUUCCUGGACGCCGGCCUCGGCUUCCUCCUCCAGCAGCGCGACGAGCGCUUCCUCGUCAUCCAAGUCCAUCGCCGAGGCAGGCAAAUCACCGAACACCUUGCGCCCAGUGGGCGUGUACCCACCGCUAAACUGCCCCUUCACGGCCGGAAACGGCGGCCGGAAACGCCCAACUGCUGUUGGAGGGGCUGCCGCAGCGAAGCUCUGCUAUUUUUCCGGCGUGGAAUGGCUAUCUAGUGGUGAAAGCCGGCGGGCGGCGCCGGGAUAUAGCUACUGGCGGACGAGGGCGCGCGGGAUGGGAGGCGAGUCGGGGAAGAAAACCUUGACUUUUUUCAUGACGGCGUGGGCCAGCCACGCUUUUCCCUUGCGCCGGAGCCCCCAAUUGCCCUCCGGUGCGCCGUGUUCGGCCUGUGACCGCCGGGCGGAAAAAAGGGCCGAACCAGCGUUUUUCGGCGUCCCAGGGCGCGACUGGAGCGUUUUUUUGACACCGGCGCCGAAAAAGUGGCCUGAGGGGGCCUGUUAAGGGUGUGGCUGAAAAUGCUCUUAGUGAAGUAUAUAUAGUAUCAAAAAAAGUAUAGGGCUAGAGUUGGCCUACGUGUCUCCAAGCAGGAGAGAGAAACAAUGAUGUUGACUUUGUCAUCAAGGAAGGGUAAGUAUGUUUUUGCUAAUCAUCGUUAUCUAAUCUAUUUUAAAUCUCCCCUUUUAUUGUCUUUGUUUCCAAUAUAAAGAAUCUCACCUAACGUCUAUUACUUAAAUUGCACUCGAUAGAGGAAUCUAAAUUUAGUGAAAUUUUGAUGCAAUGUUUAGUUUAGAAAUGUGAGUGAGAUUUUUUCUUCUGCCAAAUUAUGGAUGGCAAUCAACCACACAUAAUUUGUCAAAUUGUCAAUUUGAUCGUACCUCGUACGGAAGGUGAAUGGGGGUGGUCGCCCAAAAUGGUGACCGCCAAGAAGAAGGAAAGAUCAGGUUGUGUUCAUUUUUCUAUAGACUUGAUUGAAAUCAUAGGAAUUUGAGAGCUCUGAUCAUGUACUUUUAGGAAAAUUUUCUUAAAUUUGCACUAAUUGAACUGUCUUAAUGCAAAUUAGUCGAAAAAAACUUUGAAACACGUACAGUGAUAAAAUUGCGUUUGUCAACGUUGCAUAUCUUGCAUCCAUCUAUUUCUUUUAGAUAAAAGGUAUGCGCCCGACUUUAUAGAUAAAGCCACCAGGCAGAGUCACAACACAGCCAUCCGAACCACAUAUAAGCCAAGCAGAACAAAGUUAAGAAGUGCGAGUACAUGGCAACCAGCCAAACAAGGCACGCAGGCCAGCAAAGAGUCCAAAAGAACCGGAAACUAAUGGCAACCAGCCAAACAAGGCACGCAGGCCAGCAAAGAGUCCAAAAGAACCGGAAACUAAGCCAUUCUUCUAGAGCGCCGCAGCAGGGAAGACGACGUAGAUCUCAUCUUGGAUAGCAUUGUCGUCGAAUGCCUCUAGGUCACCUUCCUUAGUCAAUAAUCUCCACUGCUGCAAAAAGACAUUGGCUUUAAAUAAGCAACUCAUAGGAUUAGCCGGGAAAAUGUGUUCAAUAGUGAACUUGUUUCUAGUAGUCCACAGCGACCAACAAAUCGCUACCCAGCCUACCCAGAAAACCCGCUUAGACCGGCCUGCUAAAGUAUUAACACAGCGCCGCAAAUCCUCAAAAGAAGAAGGAUUCCAAUUAACAUGAAGCCAAAGUCUAAUGCAACUCCAGAGGAAUUUCACCAAAGAACAAUGAAAAAAAAUAUAUGCUCGGUGUUUUCAAGAGCCCCACAAAGCGCACAUCUAUCAGAGCCCGGCCCCUUCCUCUUCCUAAUUUGAUCGGCCGCAGGAAGCUUUCGCCGGAAAGCUUGCCAUAAGAAAAUUUUAAUCUUAGGGGGAAUGCGAGCGGACCAAAUAUCCUUGAAUUUAGCAGUGCGGGCACCCGAUACAAGUUUGGAAUAGGCAGAUUUAACAGAAAAACGCCCCAAGGCAGAAAGGGGCCAGACCACCGAGUCAUCUUCCUCCGAGAGUAAGGGGAAGCAGGUAGUAAGACGUUGCCAAUCAUCCAACUCCACAGGAGACAGAGUACGACGGAAAUCAAGGACCCAGCCCAGAUCCGAAAGCUCAGAGAUAGAGAUCUCGGGAUCAGCACAAAACGAGAACAAGGUCGGAUAGGCCACCGCAAGCGUGGUAUCCCCUACCCACCAAUCUAACCAAAAACGAGUGGACUUACCAUUCUGAACUACAAAUUUAACGAGGGAGCGGAAAAUCGGUCAACCUUUAAUGAGAUGACGCCAAAACUGAGAGCCACCAAAGGAGGAAGCGAACAUAGGGCUCAAGGAGCGGAAGUACUUAGCCUUGAGAAGAUAUAGCCAGGUGGGGCGCUCCUCGAGGAACAUAAUCUUCCACCACCAUUUUAUCAUGAGGCACUUGUUCAUGACCAAAGUGUUAAUGAUGCCUAGGCCCCCCAAGCUCUUAGGUCUGCAAAUCAGGUCCCACUUAACCAUCCUAUAUUUGCUCUUAUUAUUAGAGGAGUUCCAAUAAAAGGCACCCCUAUGCUUGUCGAAGCCAGCGUGGAUCCCUCCGGACAAGAGAUAGAAGCCCAUUAUAAACAUCAGAAGGGAGGAGAGGCAUGCAUCAGUGAGGGCAACCUUGCCCGCCUGGGAAUUAUAGCGGCCUCUCCACGACAAAACUCUAUUUCCUACUUUAGUCACUGUCGGGGCAAAAUCUUUUGCCAGAAGCUUGAGAGGGGAGAUUGGAAUGCCCAGGUAUUUGAGAGGAUAGGACCCUAGAGAACAGUUGAGAAGAUGCGCCACUCUCUGAGCUUCCGAAUCAGACACCCCAGUCACAACAACUUCGCUCUUUGAGAAAUUAAUUUUAAGCCCCGAAAGCGCUUUGAAGCAUAAUAGGAGAAAUUUCAGGUUUGUGAUGCUGUCUUCAUUAAGUUCAACCAUAAUAAUGGUAUCGUCCGCGUAUUGAAGGUGAGAGAUGCCAUUGGGGAGAAGGUGAGAACUAACAGGCGUAAUGUGCCCAGCAGUAGCUGCUCGAGAAAGAAUAUGAGAAAGAGCAUCCACAACGAAAUUAAAGAGCAGCGGAGACGCCGGAUCCCCUUGUCUAAGGCCCCUACCAUUAGCAAAGAAAUUAGUAAUCUGCCCAUUCACCGCUACAGCCGUGUGCCCGCCCGAGACGAGCUGCAUAAGACGGUGAACCACCGCACCCUCGAAGCCCUUAGUAAGAAGAACUUGGCGAAGGAAAGUCCAACUCACCGAGUCAUAUGCCUUUUCAAAGUCAAGCUUAAGAACCACAGCCUUAGUGCCCUUGGUCCGCGGGUCAUGGACUAUCUCAUGCAAGCAAAGCACCCCGUCUAGAAUAAAUCUCCCCUUUAUGAACGCAGAUUGAAAAGGACUAAUGAUACGAUGAGCAAUCGGGGAUACCCUAGUUGCCAAGCCCUUAGCUAGAAUCUUCGCAAAAUUGUUAAUUAAAGCAAUGGGCCAAAACUGGGAAAUCAAGUCAGCACCUUUGACCUUAGGGAUGAGAGUGAGAACCGCGUAGUUCGGUCUAGAGAUGUCUACAGUACCUAGCCAGAAACCUUGAAUAAUAGCCUGAAUGAGGCCUUUUAGCUGAGGCCAGAAUUGCCGAAAGAAAGGAAUGGAGAAACCGUCAGGCCCGGAAGCCGCAUUAUAAUUGGCCGAUCGAAUCGCUUCGAGAAUCUCCUCUUCAGAGGGGGAUCAUCAAACUCUCAUUUUCAACACUUGAAACAUGUUCGAGGGGAGACCAAAAGGACUGCGCCAGCCUAAAACCCGUCUCAGGUUUAGCAGAUAAGAGGGAAGAGAAGAAGUGAGCCACGUGCCGCAUGAUCACAGACUGAUCAGAGACCCUGACGCCCUCAAUAAGGAGGCAAUCAAUCAGGCAUCUCCGACGUCUACCAUUUGCAAUGGCAAAGAAGUAGGCCAUGGGCGAGUAACCCUUUAAAGUCCAAUUAAUAGUGCCUCUUUGCUUCCAACACAUUUCCUCCUGACGGUGCAUACCUAAAAGAGCCUCUUCAAGACCAUAAUGGGUCUGCCAUUCGGCCGCGGAGAGGCCUAAAUUAUCCGCAUGGGCAUCAAGCACCUCAAUUUGAGCAGCCAGCCUAGCUUUGUCCCGCCUUGACUCAGCAUAGUGAUUUUUAGACCAGCCUCUAAGGAAUCUCCGAAAGAAAUAGGAGCAUUGAUGCCAGUCGUCCAUCGGGCCAAAAGAUCGGCGAUUAGAAGACAGAAAAACCGAAAUCUUUCGCGCAAUCAGGUCAGCGAAACCCUCCACUUGGAGCCACAAAGCAUCGAACUGAAACCUCGGGAGGGCAACCGAGCGAGCACCAUCGUCAAGAAUCAAGGGGGAGUGAUCAGAACCCACUAUAGCUAGUGCUCUGAGGCUGACACGGGGAAACAAUGAGUCCCACCUAGGACACAAGAAAACCCGAUCAAGGACAUAACGUAUGGGAGAGGCUUGGCGAUUCGUCUAGGUGAAACAGGCCCCAACCCUAGGCAUUUCACAAAUAGUCGUGUCCCUAAUGAAAGCAUUGAAGGCAUCAGCCAGAGGCCAAGAGAAAUUAGAGGAGCUCUUGUCCGAAGGGUAUCGCAUCAGAUUAAAAUCGCCUCCAAUCAAGAGUAGCAGCUGACAGGACUCAAUUUUGUUACUAAGUUCAUCCAAAAAGAUAUAAGACAACGAAUGGUCAGCCGGACCGUAAACCACCAUGAUUUCAAGUAAAGAAUUAAGGGAUAUAUGAAAGACCACCAUGCUAGCCCAAAAAAUGCCAUGCUCAAAAGUGACAAAAUCAAAAACAUCUUUUUUGGUGCCAAGAAGAAUACCACCCGAGUGGCCAUCCGGGGCCACAGAAUUCCAGUUGAAUCUAUCCAUCCCAGCAACGGCCGAGAGCUAACUAGGGGAGAAGGAGGGUUUGAGAGUCUCGACAAGGCCAAUAAAAUCAACAUUUUCAGACCGAACCAAGUCUUUAAGCUGGUCCUUGCGCCCCCUAGCGCCGAAACCUCUGAUGUUCCAGAAUAGGGCCUUCAUCUGAAGGAAAGGUUUUUAAUUCUAAGACUUGACCUGCUCGGAGCCUUGCAGGAUUUAGCACGUUUCCCAACCCCGCGAUUGGAGACAGCCGGGGGAGCCUGACUCCUAUCAUCUCCUGCCUCAUCCCCACCGGCCACAACCAGUGGGGCACUCGGACCCACCCCAGCCUCCUUGGCUUUUGCAAUGUCUGCCUGAGCUAAUUCAUUCGCCCUAAUAACUCCAAGUAAAGAAGAGCGAGAGCCCAAACUAGCGUCUAAGCAGAUGCCCACAUCAUCUAAAAUACUAAGCAAAUGUUCAUCAGAUUGAGACGGAAGCACUAAACGAACCGGAGAAUGCACAACGGGGCAAGAGGAGGAGGGAACUGGGCGCGAACCUGAAGGAGGCAGAUCCCGAGCCACAGCGCGCCGAGCAGCCCGAUUAGCCACCCGCUCCCUGCAGUUGGAGACGCGGCCACUCUUACGAGCCGUGGAAGCGGGCGACCGCACUGGAACAGGGCGAGCACGGCAGGGAGACGCCUCAAUAGAGGACGGACCCGAGGCCGUGCCCAAGUCAGCAUCAAGCCUGCGGCAGAGCCCAGUCGCAGACUGCCUUGAAUCACCAGAAGCUCUGCUCUUAGCGGAGUAUUUCUUGACCGACUUCUUCUUCUUCUUCUUGGAGGCAGAGGGGCCAGCCGGGGGCAGAUCUUCGAUGCCAGAGAGGGAAGGAGAGGCAGGGCGGGCAGGAAGAUUUGAGCACACCGCCGAGAAUGGAGUGCCUUUGGCCCCAAGAGAAGCAUCCCCUCCAACCAAGUCCGGCAGCGAGUCAUUGGCCCCCCGACCGACCGGAGCAUUCUCCUUCAACAUAUCCUGGUCUUCAGGGGAGAGCCCGUCCCACUCCGACUAGGUAAAGCGCUGAUCAGUGCCAUGCGUAGAAUCGUCCGGGCAACCAUCCCCAUCCUUGCUCUGGUCAUCAUUGCCAGAUGCCGGGCGGGGGAGGAUGUGGGGGCGAUGCCGGACCCGAAGCACCCUCCACCCGAACCCUGAGCCGAAAGCCACCAGCCGAAGGGAAGACGUCAAUGGAACCACGAAUACACAGGGGGUCAACACACCAAACCCGCUGACGGACCGGCCCGAGGAUAGCCAAAGAAUCUUGAUCGACCUCAAUAGGCUUGCCGAUGAGAACCCCGAAGGCCAUCAGAAACGCCGUGGUACGCACUGAAGGAGGCACAUCUUCAACUAGAACCCAUACAUCAGACAGGGAGGAGAUAGCCUUGGACCCAUUAGAAGCAGCCUUGACCGAAACAACCAAUUGGUUCAGAGGUAGCGUGAAGCUAGAACAAGAGGAAAUCAUGCGGAGACUUGCUUUGGAAGGGAAGGUCACAGCAAACUCGAAAUCUAAAAGCUGACGGAUUUGCCAAUCCCACCCUCCCUCAUCCCACAUUUGGAGCUCAUCAAGAAGGACCUGAGGUGUAAAGCAUUUGGACUGGACAGAGAUGAUACCGACGUUGGAUAGCGCAAGGAUAGGAGCUGCAGCAGGGACCUCCCUAUCUAAAGCGAAAAAUGAGCACCCAGGAAGACCAAGGCCAUAGUGAACGAAGGCGGGAGGUUUGGAACGAUUCUGACAGUCCACCGUGAGAUGGCCAUCUUCCCUACAGAUGAGGCAGAAGGGGGGGGGGGUUCGCACCGGGAUUGAAAGUGACCAGGACGGUGACACGCGAAGCAGGUGAGAGUGGGGUUGGCAACCUGAGAUUGAGGAGGAAUGCAACCAGGACCACGAGGGGGAGGAGGGAGGAUACCAUCACCAGCCGUGCCAGGCCCAGAUCCAACGCCCCGCCCACCGAGAGAGCCAACGGGGCGACGGGCCGGAGCCCCGGACGCACCACGCGGAACGAAACAAGACGGCCCCCGCCAACCACCGCCGGAGCCCGCACCGACCCGCCACCCAGGGACGCAACACCAUGUGGGGGAGGCGACGGGACCGGCCCUGACGAGCCAGCCCGACUCCCCGCAGCCGCCACCUCCCACGGGUCGGCAGCAGCCGAAGGAGCACCAUGCAAGGGCAGCGGGAGAUCCACCGGCCCAGAUCCGGAGGCGCGCGGGGACGAACCGGCCGCCGCCGCAGCCGACCCCGCCUCCGGAGCGAGCGACGCCUGGAGCUCAGCGCGCAGCGUCGCCUCAUACUCCAGAUCAGUUGCCGCCUCGCCAGAUCCGUCGCGCCCCCGCUUCUGGCCGGAGAUAGCCUCGCUGGAGGACCCGCGCGACCGGUCCAUCGCGACCACCGCCGCGAAGGAACGAGAGAGGGGAGGAGGGGGAGCAGAUCGAACGAAGGAGCGAAUGGGGAAGCGACGCCAACAAAGAUCAGAUGAGGAGGCAGGAAACCCUAGAAAUGGGGGAACCGAACCCUUCCGGAUCCAUAUAUACGCAGACUGAGCCAGGCCCGGUUCGACAUACGGCACCAAGGGAGGCUGGGCCUGGGCCAACCGCGGCCCAGAGUCUAGGGAAGGGAGGGGGAAAAGUAGACACACAAGCCAAGGCCGGAGCCGGCCCAGGCCCACCAGGCCCAUCAUACGGCACAAGGGCCCGCGUCUCCAACGCAGGCACCACCACCCGCCCCAGCGCCAGAUCUAGGGCAGGCGCCGGCGCCGCCGCCGACGGAGAGGCCGGGGCCGCNNNNNNNNNNNNNNNNNNNNNNNNNNNNNNNNNNNNNNNNNNNNNNNNNNNNNNNNNNNNNNNNNNNNNNNNNNNNNNNNNNNNNNNNNNNNNNNNNNNNNNNNNNNNNNNNNNNNNNNNNNNNNNNNNNNNNNNNNNNNNNNNNNNNNNNNNNNNNNNNNNNNNNNNNNNNNNNNNNNNNNNNNNNNNNNNNNNNNNNNNNNNNNNNNNNNNNNNNNNNNNNNNNNNNNNNNNNNNNNNNNNNNNNNNNNNNNNNNNNNNNNNNNNNNNNNNNNNNNNNNNNNNNNNNNNNNNNNNNNNNNNNNNNNNNNNNNNNNNNNNNNNNNNNNAGCCAUCCGCCUCCACUACGGGCCCGACGAUCCGACCCCGCCCGCCAGGAGCGAAUUUUUGCCGACGGCCCGACGCCGAAGCCACGGGGAGGCCGCCCGCAGGCACCGGACGAGGAGGGGAAGUGGGCGCCUCAGAGUCCGACCCAGAGCCAUCAGAAUCCAGCGCCCAAAACCUGUUGGCUCGGGGGGAGCGCGGAGGACAGAGCGAGUUAUGUAGUCCUGUAAAUCCUCCUCUCAUCAAGUACCUCGUCCUCAUUCUCAGGUUUCAGGUUACUCGAAGGCAUCGCGUCAAGGACAGCAGCGACCUGUGGCUCAAAACCCAUGUCGAUCAUCCUAUCAGCCUCGUCAAGCACAACAUAGUUGCACUGGUUGAGCACAGCAUACCUGCUCUCCAAGCAAUCAAGAAGCCGACCAGGUGUUGCAAUUACAAUCUCACAGCCCUGCUUGAGCUUUAAAGCCUGCCCCUCAAUCUGCUGACCACCAACAACUGACACGACCCUAAUGCCUAGAUGAUUGGCAAAUUUGACAGCCUCCUCCUCAAUCUGUUGAGCAAGCUCGCGAGUAGGUGCCAGGACAACAGCAUAAGGGCCAUUUUCAUCCUUUAUGGGCGGCAGGUGUGCAAUAUAAGACAUCAUGGGAAGCACAAAAGCUGCAGUCUUGCCGGAACCUGUCUCAGCAAUGCCAAUGACAUCACGCUGGCUUAAACCAAGUGGAAUGGCAGCCAUCUGGAUUGGUGAUGGUUUCCGGUAUCCAGCCCUUUCAACAGCAAGAAGCAGCUCAGAGCCAAGCUUGCUCUCGCUCCAGCUCCGCAUCGGCCGAGGCACGCGAGACCCCUUGUAAGAGAUACUGAAGUCUUCGCGGAAAAUGCGCCAAUCCCGCUCGGUCAUCUCCGCGAGCGACUUCUCAGACCAGUGCCUGUCAACACGCAUGUCAAAGGUGUCAUACGAAUCAGCUGCAGCAGCAUUCUUCUUGUCCACCAAAUCAUCGUCCUCCACGCGAUCCUCGGCACCUGUUCUGUGCCGCAGCUCUGCACGGAUCUUCUUCUCGAGCUGGGCUGCCGCCUUCUUGUGCUCGCGGCGGUCCAUACCAGCAACGAAUCCCCGGCCGAAGAGGGGCCGGGCCUCGUGCGGCGACUGGUAGAGCGUGUUCAUGUCGCGGCUUGUGUCCUCCGUGUUCUCCCAGUCGAACGAGCGGAACUUCUCCGACGGCUUGAUGACCUGCUUCUUGGGCUUCUUACACCCCAGGUACUGCUCCUUGAUCGCCUCCAGCUCCUUCUCGCGCUCCCGCUCCGCCAUCCUCUCCAGCCGAUCUUUCUCCCUGUUCCGGUCCCCGCGCUCCCCGUCUCGGUCCUGCUCCCGCUCCCUGUGGCGGUCGCGGCCGGGGCCUCGCUCCCUGAUCCCCUCCCUACCCCUCUCCCGGCAGGAAGAGUCAUAUCGGUCGCGGUGGAGGUCGUGGCAGCGGCCUCUGUCCCGAUCCCGAUCGGAAGAGUCGCGAUAGGCAGAGUCACACAGAGAAGGUUGGAGCUGGACGAGGGAGUAGGCGGCGGCCGAAAAGGGGUCUGAGGGAGGGAGUAGAACAGAUCUGCUGCAGAGUGUCGCCGGUCGGCGACGGCGGGCGCCUGGCGGCGCUCCCGCUCCGCCUUGGUGACGAAGACGGGCUUCGCAGUCUCCAACCAGCUAGCAGAGCGCUUCAUGGCUGUGGAUUCAGCAGGGCCUGGCGACAGCCUUUAUUAUGUGCGGAUCGGUCGGUUCCGUCACCGACUAUACUCGGUUUGGGCCGUGUUAGGUCUGGAAACGGGCUAGACCCAAAUAGCUGCUUUUUUUCGGAAAACAUUUCGUCAUCAACCAAAGGUAAAUAUUUUCUGAUACAGGAAAAAGCAUAGAAAACAUAAUUUACAAAUUUCCAUGCUCUCAUUUAUAAAAAUGCCAUGCUAUACUUUAUAAAAUUGCCUUCCUCUAAUUCAUAAUUUUGCCAUGAUAUAUUCAAUAAGUGCCAUGGUAUCUACAAAAAUUAAAUUGUCGUGCUCUAAUUUAUAAAAAACAGGAAUUGUCCAAUGGCAACUAUGACAGGAAAAAUAUAUCUAGAUCGUGGCAAAAAUUAUAAACAUUAGGGUGAUUCGCAAGGCGGACUAAGACAAAAACUAGUUUCUCUACAAACCAUGGCAAAAAAAUGUAGUGUGGCAAAUUCUGCGUUGCAAGAAAAUAUUGUGCUUGUGAGAAGUUGAAAAAUUGCCAUGGCAAUAAAUCUGAGAGUAUACCGAAGCAUAACUUAUUGUGGUAUGUUCUAUACAUUUGCCAUGGUUUGAUCUUUUUUUGAAAUGCUGUCAUGAAAGAGAAACAUAAAAAAUGUAAAUUUGCCAUGUGUCUGAUACAAACAUGAUCCUAGAAGCUACCAUGUUUUGGUAACCAAAAAUUCUAAAAACUUCACAUGUGAACAUUGCAAAAAUGUGUAACUUUGCUAUGAAUAUAUAAAUUUGCCAUGUGACAUGCGGAAAAAAUCAUAGCAUUUUCAUGUGGACAUUAUGCACAUUUAUAAUUUUGCAAUGUUUUAAAAAAAGGUUUGUAAAUCUGCUAUGACAAUCGAGAAAUAAGAUAUCCAGUCACUCCCGGGCGUCCUCAGUGGUUUGGAUUCCUGACCGUUGGAUCUGGCUGCUUGAUGCGAUCUGGGCCAUUGGAUCAAGCCGCUGGAGAGUCUCGUCCGUCGGAUCGGAGAGGGGCGACUGUAGCAAUGAACAGUUUCACCCCGCUGUAAAGAUCUCGUGCCACCGCGCGUAAUUCCUGUCCCCUGCCGAGGGCAUUUUCGUAAUUUCACUAUGGGGGUAUAAAAGCCCAGUGCCCAUAGGUUUUCUCCCCAAUCAUCUUCCUCCCUCUUCCUGUUCACGGAGGAGCCGCCCCCGCCCCGCCCCUUCCCCUUCCAUAGCUCGCGCUCUUCCUCUCUUCCCCGCCCCCUCACUCCGCCGGCCGCCGGCCCGUCGACUCCUUCGCCUCCAGGGAGCGCUGCCGAGGCGGCCGCGUUGCUUUGGGUCGCGCGCCGCCGCGCCCCCUUCCCUAACCCUAGCUCCAUCACCUGCCCGACCCGCCGCAGCCUGCGCCACCUCCUACAUCGAGCCCCGCUGUCCGCGUCCCCGCGGCAUCGCCAUCUUCAUCCGCGUGCACUUGGCGAUGGCGCCACCCACUGCCGGCCCUUGGACCGUGCUGCUCGAGCGCGGCGCCGGCUCUCGAUCCGUCUGGAGACGGAGAUGGAGACGUCGCAGCGGAGCAGAAGUAGACGCUCGAUGCGGCGCUCCCCCGUCCCUCUUCCUCCUGCACCAGCUGCAUGCGCUCGAUUCGGUGCUCUCCCGUCACUCCUCCUCCUCCAUCGCCGGGAGGGGCGUGGCCCUCUACUUGCGCCGCUGCUCCAGGUUCUCUCUCUCUCUCUCUCUCUGACUAUUGCGAUGGAACUGCAGGAGACGAACGAGUUGGGCUCGGACGUUGCUGGCCGCCUGUUUGGUCUGCAAGAGGAUGCUCCCCUCUCCCUCUGUAAUUAACAGGCAAUGUACCAUCUUUCUCUCUCAGAUAUGAUGCAUCCAUCAUUUGGGUAAUGAUUUUUUCCAUGAGCUUACUGCUUCUAUGUCCUAAUCAGAUAUUAGAUUACCGUAUGGCCCUCAGUUGCCCCUAAAACCUCAACUACUGAUGUUGCUGAGGUUACAGCCAUAACCCUCUUGCUUUGGACAGAACUUAUAAUUUCUUUUGCAUAAGUGUGCCAAGUGCUGAACUGAUUCACGUGGCUGGUUGUUAUUGGGCAUUUGUGUGGUUUAAAUAUUUCAGUAUCAGUGCAAGAUCAUCUAUCUAUUUGAGUAUUUAUCUUGGUACAUGAACAUAUUCAUAUCAAUAUAGCACAUGAAUACUUGACAUGGCUAUCUAUUUUAGUCUUGCAUUGAUAUUUUGAGAAUGGAAGUGGCCUGAAAGCCACUUGACUGAAUUGCCAUCUCUUGCAAAGUGGCAGUGCCAUGAUAAUUAGAUGCCUGCAGGGGAUCUUCUUUUCAUUGAAACAUUUACCUAUGAUAUUGAGCAUAGUUCUUUUUUCUUGAAUUUCGCUGCCAUGUAUGUGUUACUUGGAAAUUUAGCCAUCGAGCAUGUGCUUGGGCAUGGUUUAACAUUGCAGAAUAAUUGUUUGAUGUAGUUGGGGUUCUCUUUUUUGUGCGAAGUGCAGACUGAGAUGGUUUCUUGUGCAAAGUGCUGCUACCGGUAAUUUCUACUUCUUGUUCUUUUCAGUCAGUAGUUACUUAUUUAGUGACAUUAUCAAAAUCAACUUCAGUUUUGUUAUUUGAUUGCCUCCGGUUUUUUCUUGCAUGUAGGUCAACAAUCCAAUUUUGGUAUUUGAUUUCCACCAUUCUAUUCUUACAGGCCAGUAAUAUGAAUUUGUUAUUUGAUUGAUUUGUGGUGGCUGGCAAUUAUUUUUGCUUCAGCUCACUAAGAAUCUCCCCCCCCCCUAAUCAAAUAUAUGCUAUUUUCCUCCAUUUUGUUCCCAUCUGAUAUCCAGUAGAUGUGAAUUUUAUUCCUUGUCCGUGAAAAGCUACAAUUUUUUUACUGGCACUACUUUACUAUCCUCCAAGGUGUGCUUCCAUUUAAAUUCUGCAGGUCCUUUCAAUCAUUCAUGUUGCCUCUUGAUAUGUUUUACCGGAAGGGAAAUGCAUCAAUAAGCUUUCUGUGUUUUUUUAUUUAUUUCUUGAGUUCAUGCAUUCCUUAGGUUACGCCAUGUUAAUAAAAGCCCAUUAUGUGAUCAGGUAUUCAUACUUGGACCAUAUGACAAUCCUGCCAUAGCCAGUGCAGCCUGAUGACUGUGUAGUUGCUAGGUGCAGAGGGUGUUGCUAAUAAAUGGCCAUUACUUGAUUAGGUGUUAAUGCUCUACUCAAAUUGCAUUGAUAUUGAUCUUAAGAUGUCAAGCAUUUUCAUUAACUAGUCUUCCUCGACUAAAAUAUCACGGUCUUUCUCUACUGGUCACUCGCAACGGAUGUUAUGUUUCUUUUUUUGAAGUAUAUUUGGAUGUCUGAAGUUUUUUUUCCUGAAUUAUGGCUAUCCUUUAUAGUAGUAAUUCUAAUUUGAGUCGAUAUAUCGGUGUUCCGUACCAUCCUAAAAAUGCGUCUCUGGUGACAGUCAUAGUUCUUAAUUUUCAUUGGAUUCCUAUAUGGUUUCUGAAUAUUUGAUGUUCUGAAUAUUAAGGAAUUACUUAAUUUCUAAAAUAUGUGCAUAUCGUGUUAUCAUAAUUGAGGGAAUCAAUUGGCACAAUUUUAGUGUGUACGUAUAGUUGAUUCAUAUUCAAAAUGUCAUUCUAUGUAACCAUGGGGUUUAGUUUUGCAUCAUGCUUGCCUCUGUAGUUUUGCUUGCUUAAUGGUCCUACUCCAUUGAGUGUUGCUCUUUUACCAAGAGUUAAUUUUCCUUUGAAAGUAUAAAAUUUCAAGCUUCAGAUGUGGUUUAUUAUGUUCUGAUUGGUCCUACUUUCAUACGAUAGAAUGCUGAUAAUUAAUUUUUCAUGCCGAUAGAUGUUGCCCCACCAUUCCAAACGAAAUGUGUAACCAGGCCACCGCUAGGUAUGUUCUUUUUUCAGGUUGGGUAAAAAAGCACUCGACACGAGUCUACCGAGGGCGUCGCCGGCAUAGACACGGUAGACUCGAGUGCAUUGCCAGAAGUCUGCAGGAGGUGCAGCAGAGAGGUCCUAGCGACCACGACGGCACAUCCGCGGCUGGUCCACCUUGGGCUGCUUCUCCACCACCAAGCGCUUGCCCCGCGUGUGCUUCUUUUCUCCCAGGAAUGGACCGUAGCCAUGGAGAGCGGCCAGAGGAGCAAGGACGGUCAGCCCCUGCCUCCUCUCCUGCACGGCUGCACGUGAUGGGGAUUACGAGCGACGUACGUGGUGAGCUACCCGCCUGCCCCUCCUACCCCCUAAAUCUACAUGUACAUCCCCUGAUUGACUGAAACUGGUUUGGAUGUUUAGUUUCCUUUUUAUGAUUCAUUAAGUCACUUUUUGAUUCAAGCAAACUCAAGUUACUCUACAUGAAGCAGUGAGUGAUAAAUUUUCAACAGAAAAUAUCACUUAUAUACUUACUACGUAGUUGAACAUAUCAAAUUACAUGUCACUAGUGAUGUGAAGUUAAUCUUUCUUGAAGAGACCAUCGGGAAAAGAAUCUCUUGCCAGUGUUUGUGGAUCCAUCAUUCAUGGAUUUUUCCAACUACUCAAUAGCCUGAUUCCUACAUCUCAAGGAUUUAUUUUUGUUAGUAUAAACUAGCUAGCUGUUGGGCUUUUUUGGCAUGCAUCUUGCGUUUUACACGGAUGAUGAAAAAGGAAUUGUAAAACUUGUUGCUUUUUCUUAGUAUAUAUAUAUAUAGGAGUAGGAUUUUCUACAAGUGCUUGCCACAGAACUAGUUAAGGGUUUCAACGGUGCAAAAGUUCUCAAAAAUUCUGAAAAAAAUACUGAACCAACACACCUAUAAUAUAACAUGAUCCAACGGAGGGAUUAAAAAAAUACGACUGUAUGUGUCCUGGACAAAAAAACAAAUAGUUCAGUAUAUAUUUAUGUCGCAGUGAGCUGAAAUGCUUAUUAUUUUUGUCGAGGACACAUAGAUGCAUAUUUUGACAAUCCCUCUGUUGGAUCAUCUUAUUACAUUAGAGAGAUGCUCCCAUAUUUAUUUCAUAUUUUUUGAUAACUUUUGAACCGUUAGAAGUUUAGGAAAAUUUAACUAGUUCUGUGGCAAGCUAUGGUANNNNNNNNNNNNNNNNNNNNNNNNNNNNNNNNNNNNNNNNNNNNNNNNNNNNNNNNNNNNNNNNNNNNNNNNNNNNNNNNNNNNNNNNNNNNNNNNNNNNNNNNNNNNNNNNNNNNNNNNNNNNNNNNNNNNNNNNNNNNNNNNNNNNNNNNNNNNNNNNNNNNNNNNNNNNNNNNNNNNNNNNNNNNNNNNNNNNNNNNNNNNNNNNNNNNNNNNNNNNNNNNNNNNNNNNNNNNNNNNNNNNNNNNNNNNNNNNNNNNNNNNNNNNNNNNNNNNNNNNNNNNNNNNNNNNNNNNNNNNNNNNNNNNNNNNNNNNNNNNNNNNNNNNNNNNNNNNNNNNNNNNNNNNNNNNNNNNNNNNNNNNNNNNNNNNNNNNNNNNNNNNNNNNNNNNNNNNNNNNNNNNNNNNNNNNNNNNNNNNNNNNNNNNNNNNNNNNNNNNNNNNNNNNNNNNNNNNNNNNNNNNNNNNNNNNNNNNNNNNNNNNNNNNNNNNNNNNNNNNNNNNNNNNNNNNNNNNNNNNNNNNNNNNNNNNNNNNNNNNNNNNNNNNNNNNNNNNNNNNNNNNNNNNNNNNNNNNCUAAACUAUGGCUGCGCGCAUUCUACCUUAUCCUACGCUCCGGCCACUUCAACCGAGCCAACCUACGCGACUAAUUAGGCCGACGCGCUAACCAGGUGGAAGGGCGCGGGCGACGUGGGAAAAGAUUGAUCGUAACGCUUACGACCAAAACUGUUGGCGGCGCUUUGCUGGCCUUCUCUCAGAAAAAAAAAAUAGUAACACGUUACCGUUGCCAUACUUUAGUUAACAGUCAUCCCUCGCACGCCUACACCAUCGAAACAUCGUAAAAGUGACCCAGCCUAAGUGUUAAUUCCUAGCUUUUCAGUAGUAACGAUUUACCAUCAGGCAAUGAUUAGGGAUGCAACCUUCAUAUCUACCUGCCGGUAAAUAACCUAGGUCCAUUACUAUCUACACUUAAUCUAUUACUGACAAUGUUUAGGAAUGAAAUCAUGAUGGCUUAGAGCCGCCGGUAAAAACCUAGGUCCAUUACUAUCUACACUUAAUCUAUUACUGGCAAUGUUUACAAAUGAAAUCAUGAUGUCUUAGAGCCGGUAAAAAACAUAGGUCCAUUACCAUCUAUACUUAUUUUAUUACGGGCAAUGAAUACUGACGCAAGAUCUCGCGUAGCGGAGCAACACAUGGUAAUAUAACUAAACAUGUUACUUUAUUUUGCACAUGCCGUUACCCACCAAAUCUGCCUUCUCAUCGACCGGCGCACCCGCCUGUGAUUAGUAGCAGCAGCCUGCGUAGCGGAGAAACACAUGGUAACAGAAAUAAAGCGUGUUACUUUAUUUUGCAUAUACAGUUACCCUCAAAAUUUGGCCUUCUGAGCGACCCGCGUGCCCCGCGCACCCGCGUGCGCGUGAUUAGGAGCAGCGGCCGGCGCGUAGAUUAACUCAAAAUGNNNNNNNNNNGUUCAAUGGAUUUUCAAGAAAUCGGACCAAGUUGAUGAUCAGUUUCAUACUAAUUCAUACUUUGAUGCAUGGUAUGUGUGGUAGUCGUCCAAGAUUCAUGCCAUAUCUAGCUUCAACUAACUGAAAACAUCCUUGUUUCACAGAUUUUGCAAGUACAGGUGAUAAAGAUUCAUGAUUUGGCUGCGCGCAUGCUUGCUGGCUGGAGGUACUUGCAGCUAUAAAGAAUCAUGAUUUGGCACUUACUAAAAUCCCACGUCUACAUUUUUUAUGAUCGACGUUGCGCUAUAACUGUAGGAGUUUGAUUCAUUACUUGAUGGCCUCAAAAUGGAUACAAGAUCUGUUGGAAUCAAGAAGGCGUUAAGGUAGCCCACUUGAUCUACUUUAGCUCCAUGCUUUAUUAAUGGCCAGCUUACUUACUUUGAUAUAUAACACUUAUGUUGAUUGACAUCAACUCCACGAUUCAACUAGCAUAGUGAUGUGAAAUAUUCAUGCAGUGUGUCGAAACUGUUCCAAAAAAUCAAAUAAAUGGACCUGCGUCGAAAGGGUAGCGCUGCUACUUACUUGGUUAAGUCAAACAUUAAUGUCGACGCACAUGUCAAAACUGUAGGGUUGCAAUUUAUAUUUUGUUGGAAGAUGGGAGACUUUAUUUUUUUUUUCUACACAAGGGCUAUCAAGGCUGCUGUGUACUGUGCCACCUGUACUUUUCCUCAUUCAAAGAGAUUGAACCUGAUGCAUUUCUAUGCAAGGGAAUUUAAAUUAUGUCUGAUCUGUACCGGGACGACGCCGACAGUAAAAGGAACUAAGGAAGGGUUCUUGAGGUCUGCUCCUUCUCCACCGGUAGAGAGGAGCCUCCUUCUCAUGAUUCGCCUGUCUGCCCCGGCCCUCCCCGGCUAGAGGUGACGCCAUGGAAGGUCCCUUACCCCUCUCCCUCCUCUCUUCUGUUUCCUCUUUGUUAUAGGCACAGUUAAUUUUUUUUCUUUCCCUCUUUCCGAUUUAAACAUGAGCAUGCCCGUGCUCUCUUUUUGGUUGUGGUAGUUGUCAUAUCAUGUUGCAGUUUUAGUUACAUUUUUUGGUCCCAUGUAUAUCCAAAUCGAAAAACACUUGUGGUUUGGUACAGUUAUAUUGCAAGUCGAAAAAUAUUAUAUGUGUUAACAUCGGAUGAUCCCAAGUUGAAAUUCAGUUUGUAUUAUUCAAUAUGCAUUCUAACAAGCAUGUUCUGUUUGGCAUCAUACUAUCAUUCAACUUAAAAGAUGCUUAACCUGUUAACCCAAUUUAAAAUCUCAGGGAGACACUUAUUUUGAGACGGAGGGAGUACUUUGUAUUGAAUCAUAUCUAUAUUGUGCUUGCCCCUAAAUUGUUGCUUUACACUGAACCACUAUUACUAUAUUAUGCAUUGAUCUGAGUUUUGGCGCUUCCUACUGAAAAUCAAGUUUUUAAUGGAGAUUAUGCCCUUAUGUGAGUCUCCAGGCCUUGCUGAGUAUUUUUUAUUGUUGUGAAGGCAUCAUCAUAGAUGAUUGUAGUUACAUUGCCUCCUUUACACUUACAUCCACCAUUAAUCAUGUAAGCACUCCUUUUUUACACAUAAAAUUAAGUGAAUGUUGUACUUUCAAACCAAUUAGCACGUUUCAGUUUGAUAAAUAUUGUGCAUUGAUCCUGCACUUUUUGACAAAUUUAUGUUCAUGACAUCUCCAGUUUACUCCUGUUUUCAUUCUUUGUGCUUCUCAGGUCUGGCGGCUCCAUGGAUACAUGGAAGCCGCCAUCAUUUUGUCGGACAGCCGCCAUCAUUUUGUCAGACUAAGUGUGGAGUUACUUGUGCAAGUUCCACCAUCAACAAACACAAAGUUCUGCAUGCUAUCAUCGCAAGUAAAGCAGUCAGUCUGUUAGGGAGAAAACAAAGGCUUGUGUGCUCAUUAGUUUUUUUUUGUUCUAUCAUGUGGUCUCCUUAUCUAUCUGUAACAUGUGACCUGUGCAACUGCAAAAAUUUUAGACAAUAAAAUUCUGUGUAACACAUGUUCUUAUACAUUUUGCCUAUAGAGACUGUGCAUAGUUAUUCCCUUUUUUGUUGCCUUGUGUAAUAUAUAUUGUAAACAAAUUGUCGUGACCUACUGAACCUUGCACUUUUGCUGUAACAUACUGAACCAUUACACUAUUGCAUUUCAUCUUAUAAACGUAUGAAAUAAAAAACGUCGCAUACCAGGUUGGAUGUGGCUGGGCAGGUGGGGUGCGGCAAGCCGCACUUCCUGUCUAGUUAAC
rnacentral:lncRNA from 1 species